rnacentral:piRNA from 1 species
UGGUGCAAUGCAAAUGGGUGCAUCUUGCCUG